rnacentral:rRNA from 1 species
UACGUAGGGUGCAAGCGUUAAUCGGAAUUACUGGGCGAAAGCGUGCGCAGGCGGUUUUGUAAGUUUGUCGUGAAAGCCCCGGGCUCAACCUGGGAAUUGCGAUGAAGACUGCAAGGCUUGAAUCUGGCAGAGGGGGGUAGAAUUCCACGUGUAGCAGUGAAAUGCGUAGAGAUGUGGAGGAACACCGAUGGCGAAGGCAGCCCCUGGGUCAAGAUUGACGCUCAUGCACGAAAGCGUGGGGAGCAAACAGG